CAGCCCGGUAGCUCGUCAGGCUCAUAACCUGAAGGUCGUAGGUUCAAAUCCUACUCCC
rnacentral:tRNA from 1 species